GAAACGUGCAACGAAACCUAUCCCAAAUCGAAUCCACCGCCGCGGCGCCGCUCCCCCUUCGGCCGCCCUAGCAACUCCUCCGGCGGCUGGCGAGCGAGUAGAGAUGAACGCCGCUGCUCCCGCCGUCCCGCCUCCGCUCAGGCUUUUACUCCACCUCAAUCUGCGGGCGGGGAAUUUUGGAUUCCAGCAACAACGGGCGCGUCGGUGAUCUUCGGCGCGUGGCUGCGACAGAGCUCGACGCGCCUAGGCGGUUGAUCUGGCCGGGUGUCCAUGGCCGAUGGCGGCUUCAAAGGAUCGACAACGCUGCCACGGGUAGAGAUCGACGGCAAUAGGCCUGAUCUGUGGCCCCUCCAGUGGAUUCGUCGCUCCUCUUCCACGGCCACCAAUGGCGCAGGCCCCUUUCCUCGUCGAACGCUCGCUCAGGGGCUCUGUUCCUCAGCCGGUGAGCCCCCGUCUCUUCGACGGCAGCGGCACAGGCCGCACCUUGAGCUUCACAUCUCUUCCACGACAAGCGGCACAAGCAACAUGUUUUCUAGGGUUUUGUUUCCCCGCCUCCUUUCUUCGCAGUGGCACAUCAACGGCAUUGCCAACAACCUGCCAGGGCACUGAACUUCAGAAUUUACCUUGCUCUUCUGAACUGCAUAUUUGUCUCACUGCCAACAUAAUAUCUGCAUACGCUGCAUCCAAAUUAAGCAGUACCAGUCCCAAAAUAAUUACUCUGGCCAGAGAAAGAAGCCAGUGUUCGCCGUGCUCUGUUUGAUCUAAUACAGAUUUUGAAAGAAAGGAAUUGCAGAUUUUAUUUGGACAAAGAGAUGAAGCCAGAAAGGCCAUGGCGACAACUAGUUCCACAUCCACAACUCUGGCCGCCAUGCCCAUAGUAUCUUCUACAUGCAGCAAUUCUCUUUCGAUGUAGGUAGUCUGUGUUCAUCUCUAGCCCUGUGUGUGUGCGUGUGUGCGUGUGCGGAACUAGGAUUCGAUUCGGUAUAACACCAUCACCGAUGCAGACGAUAAGGGGUUCAUCGCGCCAGGCACCUUGGCGUUGCUUCCGUGAGAUGGUGGCCGCGGCUACAGAAACAGCUACGGUGAGUUCCUCUCCUCACCUCCAGUGGUUGCUCUGAGCUCAGUGUGGCCAUCGUGCCAUGGCUAUAUCUGGUUAGGCUGCUACAGUACGCCCUUGCAUAACGAUGGUGCUACUGUUUGUUUGUUUGUUUGUUUCUCUGCCUUGCUGCCACUAGCCUGCCUGAUAGAAACUUGUUGAAUAUAUAUGUCUUUGAGCAGGAAUUGAUAGAAUAUAUAUAGCUCAUGUCCAUGUUGAUUCCCAUCCCACUCAAAGUCUGAAACACUUCUUCUUCUUCGCACUCAACAACUAGGCAGCACUCAACAACAACUACACACAUGGAGCAGUCUUGUUCGUUUCAGGAUGUAGUAUCACCACUUUAUUUAUUCCCUGCCUGCCUCCAUGAUAUUCUGACUGCAUAUAUGUGGUCUGUGUACCAUCCAUGAUAUGCACUUGCAUCCUCAACUCAUGUUGGUAUUGUUUUAUAUUCAAGGAUGCCUUCCUACUCCUGCUAGUUUAGUUGUUGUGUGGCCUUGUUUCCAUGAUGAUGAAAUUCCAAAUAUACAAAUUAUUCAUACUACAUGGAGGGCCGGUGCGGGUGCUUUGGACACUCAUUUUAUGUCACGUCAUUCAAUUAAGAAAGGCAUUUUUGACAGCGUCAAAGUAAGAAGUCGUGUCAAGAAGAGUGGUGCCAGAAUAACCAUAGCGUUCAAUAGAGGAAAGCGGGCGAGCACAGAAGCCAUAGUAGGUCGAGUUGGAGGCAGUGCGUUACCAAUAGAAGGAGGUUUUGUAGUUGAGGGAGAUGGCGAAUUAGAGGAAUCCACAACACGUGGACGACCAAUGUGGUAAGAAGAGGAUGAGGGGGAAUUACCGGAGAAGCCUCACAGGACGAGCGAGGUUUGAGGUAGCCUCAGGUAAUGAACGAGGCAAGGAAGCCACAUGUGACACUGGUAUGGAGUCUAGAAUAUUAGUACGGGAAGACACGGUGGGAUGGGUGGAUAAGGACAAUGCGUGGGUGAUAGGUGUAUCUGCAAAAGUGAGGAAAGAAAUAUCGUCAAUGGGAGGAUGGACAUGGAUUGAAAGGAUGAGACUCAUCAAAAGCCACAUCCUGAGAAAUGAGCAUCCCAUGAGAAGGAUCCUAACAAGUUAUAUUCAAUAGACUGAGCAACCAGUUUGGUGCGUUCAAGGGGGGGGGGGGGGGGGGGGGGGAGGGGCGCAAAAAGAAAAGGUAGCAACCGCAACCAAACAAAAGAAGCGUUGAGUAGCCAUGAGAAUGACCAAAAAGAUGCUUGAGAGAACAAGAUCAAAAGGACGUUGAGAGAUCGUCUCAGAAUGAGGAUGAAGUAAUCAUGUUUACCAAGCCGACAAACUUGACAGUUUAAAGACAACACCCGAGAUAGAUACAAGAAAAUCACGUUGAGAGGUGAGGGACGAGAGCCAUACAAUUGACCGACGAUGAUGCCACAGAGAGUCGGUCGCCAAGGAAACAGACGAAGAAAAGGUAGCAACCGCAACCAAACAAAUGAAGCGUUGAGUAGUCACAAGAACAACUAAAAAGACGCUCGAGAGAAAUGUCACCCUGUGGAGCAGAGGAAGGGUGAAUAUUGAUGAGAUGGGUGGAAGUAGGAACAAUCUCAACCCAAAAGUGAGGUGGAAGAGAGGCAGCGAUCAUCGACGCACGAGCUACCUCAAGAAAGUGACGAUGGUUGCGCUCAUCAACACCAUUUUGAGCAUGAGCACUAGGAGAAGAGAACUGACCAAGUGCGCCCUGCUCAGCGAGGAAUCCCACAACAAAUGAGAGAUACUCACGAGCAGAAUCUGCACGGAAGACACUGAUGGGAGUGGAAAACUGGGUAUGAACCAUGGUGUUAAACUUCUCACCGCUAAGAUCUCACUACAAGAAGAUACGAAAUAUAUCCAUGUGUGUCGAGAGUAAUCAUCUAUAAACAUAAUAUAGUAGCGAUGGCCUCCAUUCGAGGCGAAGGAAGCUGGACCCCAAACAUCAGAGUGAACAAGAUUGAAAGGAUGUUGAGACACCGCCUCGCUAUGAGUAUAAAGUAACCGAACCUGUUUACCAAGCUGACAAACCCGAUAGUUUAAAGACACAACACCUGAGACAGAUCCAAGAAAACCACCUCGAACUAAGGACGAGGGAUGAGAGCCAUACAAGUGACCCACAAUGAUGCCACAUAGAGCCGACAGCCGAGGAAACAUAGGUGAAGAGAGUAGCGGUGGCAGCAGCAAGGCAUGUGAAGCCAUUCAAGCUCCUGGAGGAGCUGGGAGUCACUGCACCGAGGGCCAACACAAAGUAGAGCACACGUGUGACGAUCUAAUCUAAACAAGAGCCAAAGAUGAGGAUGACUACCCCUGAGUCAACAAUCUUACACAUGAAAUGAGCUACAUGGUAAGUCAAGGAACAUGACAAUGAAGUGCUGAUAGUGCCAUCAACAAUAAGAACAUGAAUAUGAGAGUUUAAAGGUUUGAAUGGAGGACAAACUGGAAGAAGCAUGAGUCAUAUGAAAAGACUCUCCAAUAUCAAGUAUCCAUGGAAAGAUGUGCUUCCAGCCUACAAAUGAGUUCAGUGCUCAACCUCAUGGCAACACACUUAUAUGCUAAUUCUUGGACAUUUCUAAUAACAAGAAGCCUUACUCCUAUUUUGGUAUUUUGGCCUGAGGUAGUUGGGCUAGUAGGUGCCAAGGUGGUCAUGGAAAGAAAAUCGAGCUUGAACAAACCCGAUGUGUAAGGAGAAAGAUGAUUUUGACCCUUCCUGGUUAUGACUUUGGUACGAAGCCACCUCGCAAGAUGUUAUGAUUGCAGGCAACCUCGCGUUAGUCAAGGACUUGCCCUUGGUGCCAGGGGAAAGAAAGUGACAAGUCUUAUAGAAUACCACGAGGGAAAACUGGGAUGAGCAUCUCAGCUCAGGGUUCCUAUUUGCAAGUUCAAGUGAAAAAGAAAGAGGAUGACGAGGGCGUGCUGCUUCUGACAUCAUUUUCAUUGCUUCCUCAUACCUCCCUAUUUGCAAGUUCAUGUGAAGAAAAGACAGGAUGGCAAGGGCGUGUCGCUCUUGACAGCGUUUUCAUUGAAUCCCCGUAACUCUCAUGCACUCUCCAUUUCUAGCCGAUCCGACUUAGCGUUCUUCCCUUGUUUGUGGGUUGUGUGUCACGGACUUGGUUCCGCAUUCCAUGUUCCCUUGUUGGUCGUCCCUGGCCUUGGCGACAGGUAGCGUCGUGCUCUUGGGCGCUAUGCGUCCUCGCGUAAGACGGAGACGGUGCCGACUGCUCGUGCUCUUGCUCCGCCAGUGGUGGUGCCUGAGCUUGUGGCUAUUUGGGCAACCUGCAUGGGAGCACAGGAUGUAGGAACAAGGCAGCACACAAAGCAACUUGCAAACAUGUGAAGGAUGCCUUGCCGGACUGGCAGGCAAUGGAAAGAGUACGCGGCAGGUGUGGGGGAAGGGUGAAAACACUGUCGAGAGCGGACUGUCAUUGCCGUCAGUCUUUGGACCUAGAGCCGAGCGAAGAAGGGAUGGCGAUAAGGAAGCGAGGAAGACAGGAAGAGGGCAUAUGCCUGUGUGUUGGCCAUGACAGUGGACGAUGGCAUGGCAUGGUUGUUGUGGAGUGAGGUGCCAUCGUAGUCAUGCCAUAGCAUGGCAUGGCACUCUGCCAUCAUAGUCAUGGCCAUAUUUUUGUUGAAAACCACGGGCCACACGACGAGCUAUGUAACAAUUAGGAGAACCACCAGUCUUAACAUUGUAGACCCACUUACAAGUGACAGACGAGCAUGAGGAGGAAGGGAAAUGAGAUCCCAUGUGUUGAUGCACUCACGAGCAGCAAUCUCUUAUGCCAUUGCAUAUUGCAGUUCGAGGUGAACAGCACUAUCAUGAGCAUUCAUCUCGAGAAGAAUGACGCCAGAAUAAUCAUAGUAUACAAUAGGGGGAAGCGGGCGAAUGCAGAAACCAUAGUAGGCUGAGCGGGAGGUGAUGCAUGGCCAAUAGGAGGCAUGGUUGUCAAGGGAAAUGGUGCAUUAGAAGAAUCCACAACAAGUGGAUGACCAAUGUGGUAAAUAUAAGAGGACGAGGGGGAAUCACUUGAGAAGCCACAUGGGAUGAGCGUGGUGAGGUUGCCUAAGGUAACAAAUGAGGUGCGGAAGCCACAUGUGAUGAUGGCAUGGUGUCUACAAGAGUAGUAUGGGAAGACAUGAUGGGAUGGGUGGACGAGGGCAACACAUGAGUGAUAGUUGUAUCGGGAAAAGUGAGGAAAGGAAUAUCCUCAAUGGGAGGAUGGGUGUGGAUAGAGAAGGACGAGACUCAUCAAAAGUCACAUCCCGAGAAAUGCGUAUUUGACGACCGACAGAAUCCCAACAUUGAUAGCCAUUGUGCUCGUCAUUGUGAAGACAUUCAACUGACUGAACAGUCAGUUUGGUGCGUUCGGGGGGGGGGGAGAGGGGAGGGGAGGGUGGCAAAACAUAGCAACGACAACCAAACAAACAAAGCACUGAGUCAUGAGAACAACCAAAAUGAUGCUCGGUAGAAAUGUCAGGUUGAAUGUUGAUGAGAUAGGUGGAAGUAGGAACAACCUCAACCCAAAAGUGAGGCGGAAGAGCCACGACGAUCAUCAAUUCACGAGCUGCCUCAAGAAAGUGAUGAUGCUUGUGCUCGUCAACAUCAUUCUGAGCAUGAGCACAAGGAGAGCAAGUGUGUCCUGCUCAACAAGGAAUCCACGCAACAAAUGAGAGGUACAGUUAUGAGCAGAAUCUACAUGGAAGACAAAUAGGAGUGGAAAAUUGGGUCAAGCAUGGUGGCAUGGCAGGGAAGACAAAAUCAUCGGCAGUCAUGGCGGCAAACUUACAGAGGAAUCAUCUAUAAAGAUAUUAUAGUAAAGAAUGGCCUCUUUUCGAGGCAAAUGGAGUUGGAUCCCAAACAUCAGAGUGAACAAGAUCGGAUGGGUGUUGAGAAACCUUCUUGCUAUGAGGAUGCAAUAACGGAACUGUUUACGAAGCCGACAACCUGGCAGUCUAAAGACCCAAUGCCGGAGACAUAUCCACGUUGAACCAAAGGAUGAGGGACGAGAGACAGAAGUGACCAAGACAAUGAUGUGAUAGAGAGCUGGUAGUUGAGGUAACAAAGGCGAAGAGAUUGGCACCAAGUAGAGCACCCGUGUAACGGUCCUAAUCUACAACCAGUCAACAAUCUAACCACCUAAAAUGAGUUACAUGGUAAGUCAAGGAAGGUGAGCAAAAGAAAGAACAUGACACGACAAAGUGUCUCAACUAUUCAAUGGGAGGGAAGUACCAUCAACAGUAAGAACAUGAACAUGAGAAGCUAGAGGUUUGAAUAGAGACAAACUGGAAGAAUCAUGAGUUAUAUGAAAAUACGCUCCAAUCAAAGGAUCCAUGGAAAUAUACCCAACUGUACAAAAGCACCGGGCGAUGAAAAACCAGAAGCAAUAAGUAGGUGUCGAAGUUGUCCAAGCUCCUGCGCGGUGAAGGAUACCGCUGAAGUGGUCGACGUAGAAUCACCAAAAGAGGAGUGGCCGCCACCACCACCUAUGUGAGCCCCAAAGAGGUAGCGGUGUAGCACGACAAAUACCGGUGGUAGAAGUCGAUAGAGGAGACAACGUCGUAGGCACACAAACACCAACCGCGUGGGAGUGAUGUGCACCAACACUAUCGAUGAAAGCCAUGAGGGGAGUCUGUGUAGAGCGACCAUCACCAUCUAUAAAGGUCGCGCGAGUUGUCACUAUGGAGCCACCACCACUGCCUGUAAAAACAAUUGGGGGGAGCAACCUCAUAGGUGGAGGAACACUGCACCAGCAAACGACACAUGUAUGAGGUAGGGUCAGUGUAGGUAACACCCUAAGAAAUCACCGGACAACAAGAUACUAUGUCCAAUGAAGUCAUUGUACCUGUUUCUUUGUUCUACUCUUUUCUUUUACAGAACAGUCUUAGAGAGCAGCAGAGCAUGGAAGAGCAGUGUAUAGGGCACGCACGGUGCCCUAGAGAAGCCAGUCGGUGGAACGGGUUGCCGGGGCUAAGGUUCCGUGGUGAAGUCCGGCGAUGAGGUCCUGUAUGUAGCAAAAGGUGCGGAGACCAUGACCCGCAACAGCGGAUGUCUCAAAUAUUGCGCCUCCUGGAGCUGCGGGGCGCUGGCCUCCCGGAGAUGGCGGUGAGGUGCUGACCUUUUGUACAUGGUAAUGAGGCGCGACCUUCUGAAACUGCAGGUGACGACGGCCUAGGAUCUAUAACAUUAGUAUGGGAAGACAUGGUGGGAUGGGUCGUGGAGGACAAUACAUGGGUGAUUGGUGUUAUUGGGAAAAGUAAGGAAAGAAAUUUAACUCCUACAGUAUGAGAGGGUCACUAGUAGCCUCGUUGCUCUCGUGAAAUUAUUUAUUGAAGUCGGCCCGCGGCCACUGUAGCUAGAAAAAAAUCGGGAUGAAGCAGCCCCUGUCUGGUCAUGAGCCCCGCGGCCGACUCCACUCCUCUUUGCCUCGUUGCCCUCUAUCUCUCUCUCUCUCUCUCUCUCUCCUUGCAGUUUCUGGAAUGGGGAGCGGAAGCAGCGGUGAGCGUUCCGGAGGUGAAGGGCGGCAGUAGAAGUUCAUCUGACCUUCGUUCCUGUAGCAUGGUUCGAAUCAAUUAAAGACCUGAGAUUCACUGGUAGAAGCUGCAGACAACCAUCGCUGGCGAGGCACGAGAAGUUUCCACGGUCAGAUUUACAUUGAGGAGAGGCCAUGUCAAAGAAAACACCACUAGUUAUGUGUUUGCAGCCACCUCUGCUACAUUUUGUUGUAUCAUAUUUGAGGUUCAGUUUCAUGCUGAUUGCAAUUUCUUACGGAUUGUUGUAUUUUGUUGUAGGUAGUAAGAUCAUAAGAUACUAAUGGGCUCCCUGUAAUCCCAAAGUGCAUUGGCCAGUGGAUAGAUAUUUUUUACAAAAUCUUCUAGAGGCGCUUAAUUUUCUAUAUCGAAAACGACUGCUGGUUCCAUCCAGAGUUCACCAAGUAUGGGAAUGAUCAUUGAGUAGGCCAAAAAGUUAGAUAAUUUCCUGUGCUCAGAUUGUGCUAAGAAAACAACGCAAAGAGACCUACAAAUUCAUACCAGAGUUCACCAAGUUCUCAUUCUAAGGCCAAUGAUUUAUUUCCCUUUUCUUGACUGUACUGUUUAUUCAUAUUCUGCUUGCGGAUAGCUAUAUGCCUUUAUCUUUUCUUUUUAAAUUUAGUUUCAACAAUUUCAUUUCCAAAGCUGAUGGUUCUUGCCUUUGUUUUUUCAAUAUUCCUGGGAAAAUGAUUGGUGUUUGACUACACUAGUACUUAUGUGUAGUUAAAAUUUGCUGUCAUGAGUUCCUUCAAUCUAUGCUGUGUACAGUGCCUUUUUAAGAAGAUGAUUAUAUUAUUUUUGCAGAACAUUAGUUAGUCCUUGCCAAGCAAUCUUACAUAUGUUGGCAAUAUUAAAUACUCGCAGGGUUGAGGUAGCUUGCUUCCCGUCAGAGAUCGAAUUUCCUAGGAGGUUGCCAUCUGGAGAGUAAGGUUAUCCAUCACAUGUUUGUCCAAAUGUCUCAGGGGAAUGAGAUGUCAGAUUAUAUUUUACUAAUAAAUUGUUUGUUUCCUUGUAAGUUACAAGAUCAACUGUCUCAGGGAAAUGAGAUGUCAGAUUAUAUUUCCUUUGCUGCCAUUUUUUUUGUGAGCUACUUUUGUAGGAGAAUGAGAUGUGGGAUCAAACCACUCAGAAAUCUUUUGUACUCCUUUGGGUUGUUGCACGCGAUACAGUUGUACUUUGUUGUUGUUAUCUUGCUUUCUGUGUGAGCUAAUUCUGUACAAUUAAUUAAGCUUUCGCACAGAAGAACAUAUAGUAGCAUGCUUGAGUGUUGUUUGUGAUUCAUAUAUGUGAUUGUUACCUAGAUCUAA